UAGAGAAAUUGAACCCACUACUAAAGGCAUAUACAUAAAAUGCAAUUUCCAUCAUUCGGGAAGAAUAAAUUCAUACCAGUAAUGACACAUGAGACACAUGAUAAUCUAUAAAGAGAUGCCUCUUCAAUCCAGUGUGCCAACUGUAGUCACUUUGAAACUUGAAAGUACCAAGCUACCCUUCAUAUAAAUAGAUACUUAUUGCCCACUGAUUGCCCUCACUCUUCUCUCUCUCCCGCAGCUCUCUCUUCGCGCUCUCUUCCUCUCUCAGCGCUUUCUCUCUACAUCGUCGCUCCACGACCACCACCACUCUCUUUCUCCCUCUGUCGCGAAAACCUAAGCAUCACUCUCUCUCUCUCUCUCUCUCUCUCUCUCUCUCUCUCUCUCUCUCUCUGCAGUCGAUGUUAGGGUUUGUCGAGGGGGUUCUUGAAGGCCAAUCUCUGCGUCCCUCAGCUGCCCGGCCAAGGCUGUUCCUUCCACAGCGUCCUCACCAAUACCUACAAGCUUACUUUCAUGGAAUCCCCUUCUGGCAUUAAGAUUAUCUUGGUUACUCAUCCCAGUACCGGCGACUUGCGUGAAUCUUUGAAGUACAUUUACAAUUUGUAUGUGGAAUCUGUCGUGAAGAACCCGCUCUACACUUCUGGAACUCCAAUCAGGUAACUGGUUCAGUUUCGAUUAUCGUAAUGUAGGAAAUGAUCAAUCUUCAUCUCAUAGGUCAUAAAUAGAUAGUCAUGCCUACUACAUGGAUUAAUAUUAUCAGUUUUAUAAUUCUCUGCUCACACUGCGUCCCAUUUAGUGAUAAACAAACUGUCUCCUUGCAUGUUUUUUUGCACUAUAACAAGCCUAAUAUUUGAACUAGUUUAUCUCUUGGUUUAGAAGGCAUGUUUGAUGCGUGUCAUCUUAUUGUUAGUAUUUUGUAAACUCUGUUUGUUAGAACCUACCUACUUUUCUUUUUCUUGUAUAUAUAGUUCUAUUGAAUUAGUUUACUGGUGGCUUAUCCAUCUUUGAUCAGAGUUAAAUAUAUAGUGAGUGGAGAUAUAGAAGAGUAGGAUGUGGAAGUGUUUAAGACCAGGGGUAGUAUUCAAGAGGAUACCUGCUCUGCCCCUUAAGAUCUCAACCAAUUCCAACUUAAUACCUCAGGGGUAGCUUCUGAAGUUAGAUGUAGUUGGUGUAUCUUGUGAAUGAGCUCAAGUUUAAUAUUCGUGUUAUACAUCUGUUAGUGAUGGUGUUUUAUGGAAAUAUAUAUUAAGGAAUAGGUAAAUGUAAGACUCGUUUAUUUGGCUUAAUGUUUCUUCUUCUUCUUUCAUUGUUACAAAGUUCCAUGCAUAUCUGGUGUGUGUACCACACCAUUGCAUGCCACUUCUUCCCAAUUGAUUGCAAGUGAUCUUUCCUGUUCCUGUUGUAAAAACCCUUCUCUUCCCUGGAGCUGUUGCAAAUGGUGCACCAUGGUUAGUUACAGGGAAAUUGCACCAAUAAUGUGAUUACUUAAAAACUUGUAUUGGAUUAUUUGGAAACUAAAAAUUAAACUUAGAGGACUAUUCAAGUUUGUAGAAACAACUCACAAGAAACACUGAAAAACUUAAAUGAUACAAGGGUAUUAGGCAAGGACUUACAGGUGGAGUAUAUCCAGGUAAAUUUUGCGAGUGAGCAAUCACAAAAUAACCAGAUCCUCUAAGCUUAAUGUCCGUAUAUAGAAGGAACCUAGCCUAGGGAGACAACAUUGCACGUUUAACAGAAUUGAAACACAAUUAAAUUAAUCACGCUUGUGACUAUCUGUUUUGAUAAACAUCAAAUUUUGUCUUCUUUGAAAUGUGUGUGUGUGUGUGUGUGUGUGUGUGUGAAUAUUUCUCUGUUCCUGACAUGAACACAUAAGAAAUCCAAAAAUAGGAGGACAGGUAUAGUAUUUAGCCAUGUGUAAAGGAUGCGCUCCAAGUAUUUCUGGCUUUGAGCUUGCUGAAAAAAAGAUACAUCUGACAUAGUUCUUAGGCAAUCGACAGCAAUCUAAAAGGGAUAAAAAAGUAAUUGUCAAAAUCACGAAGCACGAAUUACACUCAGCAGGUAGGCAUUGUGGAUGAAAAAGAUAACCAGAGAUGUUGGCUGAUUCAAUCAAAACUAACCAGAGAUGUUAGUAUUCUCAAGGAAACAUAAUGAAAACCAAAGAAGAUAUCAAUUCCAGAAAUUACCCUAA